CCAUGUAUUCAUUUGUUUGGCCACGGAA
rnacentral:piRNA from 1 species